AUUCCAUGAGGUGGGCAUUUUCUCAGCAUUUCUUUGUAUCUUUCCCAAGCAUCAUACAAAGAUUCAGACUCUAGCUACAUAAAAGAGGAGAUCUCAUUCCUCAACUU